rnacentral:rRNA from 2 species
ACCACAUUCGGUGGGGAUUAGUGGCGAACGGGUGAGUAACACGUGGGCAAUCUGCCCUUCACUCUGGGACAAGCCCUGGAAACGGGGUCUAAUACCGGAUGAUACUUCCACUCGCAUGGGUGGGGGUUGAAAGCUCCGGCGGUGAAGGAUGAGCCCGCGGCCUAUCAGCUUGUUGGUGAGGUAGUGGCUCACCAAGGCGACGACGGGUAGCCGGCCUGAGAGGGCGACCGGCCACACUGGGACUGAGACACGGCCCAGACUCCUACGGGAGGCAGCAGUGGGGAAUAUUGCACAAUGGGCGAAAGCCUGAUGCAGCGACGCCGCGUGAGGGAUGACGGCCUUCGGGUUGUAAACCUCUUUCAGCAGGGAAGAAGCGAAAGUGACGGUACCUGCAGAAGAAGCGCCGGCUAACUACGUGCCAGCAGCCGCGGUAAUACGUAGGGCGCAAGCGUUGUCCGGAAUUAUUGGGCGUAAAGAGCUCGUAGGCGGUCUGUCGCGUCGGAUGUGAAAGCCCGGGGCUUAACCCCGGGUCUGCAUUCGAUACGGGCAGACUAGAGUGUGGUAGGGGAGAUCGGAAUUCCUGGUGUAGCGGUGAAAUGCGCAGAU